UUCAUGCUAUUUUCUUUCCUUUUAGACUUCAAAUCCAAUUAAUGUAGCAGGUAGACAUGGCACAGUUCACCACACCCUUCUGCAGAAGACUUCAGGGGUGACCAACCCCUAUAGACCACCUGUAAGAAAGUCUGGGAAGUGGUGUGCAGUUCACGUACAGAUUGCCUGGCAGAUCUACCAUCACCAGCAGAAGAUAAAGGUAACAGAGCCAGUUUAGUCAAUGAAGCAAAGUCUUCUGGCUUACUAUAAGCUAAAUUCUAGUGACUAAUGAUCAGGAAGCAGAAUACUAGUGAUGAUGCUUCAGCUUGUGAUGUAUAGAUUAACUAAGACUGUCAAACUUUUAACAUCUGUGGCAGAAAUUGUUAAGUUUGUCUGAGGGCAAGGAAGUUGGGUUGAAUGGCAGCAAAAACACACACCAGAUAUUAAGGGUGCAUCUACACUGCACCGUUA